rnacentral:rRNA from 1 species
GUGUCAGCCGCCGCGGUAAUACGAAGGUGGCAAGCGUUGUUCGGAUUUACUGGGCGUAAAGGGAGCGUAGGUGGUCGGGUAAGCCCCGCGGGAAAGCUCCAGGCUUAACCUGGAAAGGUCGCGGGGGACUGCGCGGCUAGAGGACGGGAGAGGAGCGCGGAAUUCCCGGUGUAGCGGUGAAAUGCGUAGAGAUCGGGAGGAAGGCCGGUGGCGAAGGCGGCGCUCUGGAACGGCCCUGACACUGAGGCUCGAAAGCGUGGGGAGCAAACAGGAUUAGAUACCCCUGUAGUCC